rnacentral:rRNA from 1 species
UACGAAGGGGGCUAGCGUUGCUCGGAAUCACUGGGCGUAAAAGCGCACGUAGGCGGAUCUUUAAGUCAGGGGGUGAAAUCCUGGAGCUCAACUCCAGAACUGCCUUUGAUACUGGGGAUCUCGAGUCCGGAAGAGGUGAGUGGAACUCCGAGUGUAGAGGUGAAAUUCGUAGAUAUUCGGAAGAACACCAGUGGCGAAGGCGGCUCACUGGUCCGGUACUGACGCUGAGGUGCGAAAGCGUGGGGAGCAACAGG